UAGACAGCAGAACCACAGUAAUCAGAGGUUGACAUGAAUUAAAAGCCUACAGCCUCAGCAAAUAAACUACCGGAACCAGUUCAGCAAUCAGGCAACUGCAAUUAACUUUGUAAAGGAGCCAAUGAGACCUUUUAAAAAGACACCUCCAAAAUUAUCGUGAUGGCCACAAAUCUUGGAGAUCUUUCUACACAUCCAGCUCCUAUGUGAAGAUCAGAAUAUGCCUUAUGAAUUUGUAGCCUCCAAACAGGCUCUGAGGCAGACCUGUAGCAUCUCUGGGAAGAUCAUAGCAUUCUCUGUAACUACCAAAGAAGGAAAGUGACUUGAAGCUGAAAAGCAGAUCCAUUCUGUCAGC
rnacentral:lncRNA from 1 species